rnacentral:rRNA from 1 species
UACGGGGGGGGCAAGCGUUGUUCGGAAUUACUGGGCGUAAAGGGCGCGUAGGCGGCCUGCUAAGUCGGACGUGAAAUCCCUCGGCUCAACCGGGGAACUGCGUCCGAUACUGGUGGGCUCGAAUCCGGGAGAGGGAUGUGGAAUUCCAGGUGUAGCGGUGAAAUGCGUAGAUAUCUGGAGGAACACCGGUGGCGAAGGCGGCAUCCGGGACCGGUAUUGACGCUGAUGCGCGAAAGCCAGGGGAGCAAACGGG